rnacentral:rRNA from 1 species
CGUGCCUACGGGGGGCAGCAGUGAGGAAUAUUGGUCAAUGGCCGAGAGGCUGAACCAGCCAAGUCGCGUGAGGGAAGACGGCCCUACGGGUUGUAAACCUCUUUUGUCGGGGAGCAAAGCGAACCACGUGUGGUUCAUUGAGAGUACCCGAAGAAAAAGCAUCGGCUAACUCCGUGCCAGCAGCCGCGGUAAUACGGAGGAUGCGAGCGUUAUCCGGAUUUAUUGGGUUUAAAGGGUGCGUAGGCGGGCUGUUAAGUCAGCGGUAAAAGCCCGGGGCUCAACCCCGGCGAGCCGUUGAAACUGGG